rnacentral:rRNA from 1 species
GAUGAACGCUGGCGGCGUGCCUAAUACAUGCAAGUCGAGCGAACAGACGAGGAGCUUGCUCCUCUGACGUUAGCGGCGGACGGGUGAGUAACACGUGGAUAACCUACCUAUAAGACUGGGAUAACUUCGGGAAACCGGAGCUAAUACCGGAUAAUAUAUUGAACCGCAUGGUUCAAUAGUGAAAGACGGUUUUGCUGUCACUUAUAGAUGGAUCCGCGCCGCAUUAGGUAGUUGGUAAGGUAAAGGCUUACCAAGGCAACGAUGCGUAGCCGACCUGAGAGGGUGGUCGGCCACACUGGAACUGAGACACGGUCCAUACUCCUACGGUAGGCAGCAGUAGGGAAUCUUCCGCAAUGGGCGAGAGCCUUACGGAGCAACGCCGCGUGAGUGAUGAAGGUCUUCGGAUCGUAAAGCUCUGUUAUUAGGUAAGAACAAAUGUGUAAGUAACUAUGCACGUCUUGACGGUACCUAAUCAGAAAGCCACGGCUAACUACGUG